rnacentral:rRNA from 1 species
GACGAACGCUGGCGGCGUGCCUAAUACAUGCAAGUCGAACGCAGUGGGGACGGGUGAGGAACACGUGGGUAACCUCCCAUCAGAGGGGAUAACCCUUGGAAACAGGUGCUAAACCGAUACUGAUGGAUGGACCAGCGGGGCAUUAGCUAGUGGGUGAGGUAACGGCUCACCAAGGCAACGAUGCAUAGCUGGUCUGAGAGGAUGACCAGCCACACUGGAACUGAGACACGGUCCAGACUCCUACGGGAGGCAGCAGUGGGGAAUAUUGCACAAUGGGCGAAAGCCUGAGCCAGCCAUGCCGCGUGUGUGAAGAAGGUCUUCGGAUUGUAAAGCACUUUAAGUUGGGAGGCGUUACUAACAGAAUAAGCACCGGCUAACUCCGUGCCAGCAGCCGCGGUAAUAC